AUAUCAUUUAUUGUGAACUUAUAUAAUCGUUAGGAUAUGGCUAACAAGUUUCUACCCCAAACCAUAAAUUUGGGACUAUAAGUGCAAUUUUUAC
rnacentral:ncRNA from 1 species